CCAUGAGUAAAGUGGCGCACGGGUGAGUAACACGUGACUAACCUACCCUUGAGUGGGGGAUAACCUAGGGAAACCUGGGCUAAUACCGCAUAAUACCUACGGGUCAAAGGAGCAAUUCGCUUUAGGAGGGGGUCGCGGCAGAUUAGUUAGUUGGCAGGGUAAUGGCCUACCAAGACGAUGAUCUGUAUCCGGCCUGAGAGGGCGCACGGACACACUGGAACUGAAACACGGGCCAG
rnacentral:rRNA from 1 species